UGGCGGACGGGUGAGUAACGCGUGGGUAACCUGCCUUACACAGGGGGAUAACACCUGGAAACAGGUGCUAAUACCGCAUAAGCGCACAGGGCCGCAUGGCCCGGUGUGAAAAACUCCGGUGGUGUAAGAUGGACCCGCGUCUGAUUAGUUUGUUGGCGGGGUAGAGGCCCACCAAGGCGACGAUCAGUAGCCGGCCUGAGAGGGUGGACGGCCACAUUGGGACUGAGACACGGCCCAAACUCCUACGGAAGGCAGCAG
rnacentral:rRNA from 1 species